GUGCCAGGGGGACGGGGACAGGGACAAGGAUGAGACAGAGCACAGGGACGGGAUGAACGGGACAGGACACGCCGGGAGUCAGUGCAGCCACCCCCGCCGGUUGUCCCCGAUCCGAGGGGACAUCCCCAGCACACACCGGAGCCGGAGCCCCCCGGAGGAGCUGGCCUGGGGCUGGGACACACUGGGGACACCGCGAGGACCCCGCGCCGGGUGGGCUGGUGGCCCUGCACCCACAGGCGCACACACACGCUCGCACACGGGCACACACGUGUCCCUGGGGCACAGGGCACAGGGGACAAGGGACUCGGGGCGUCCCCAGCCGGUGACACCCCGGACCUGUGCCCCAGAUCCGCCGGAGGAGGCCCACGCCGGCCAUGCUCUUCCAGCUCUCCGAACACUCGUCCCCAGAGGAUGAGAACCUGCCCUACCAGCGCUCGGGCGAGGGCUGCCUGCUCAAACCAAAGAGGACCAACCCGUGUGCCUACACCCCGCCCUCGCUCAAAGGUACCGCCCGCGGGGACAGCGGGGACACCACGGGGACAGUCUGGUGCUCCCGGUGCCCCCGGUGACACCGGCGUGUCCCCAGCCGUGCAGCGCAUCGUGCAGUCCCACCUGGAGAGCGGCAUGGGCGGCGGGGACAGCUCCGACGGGGAGCCCGAUGAUGGCUGCGACCCCGACAGUGGCCUCGAGUCUGGUGAGGGGACACGGGGACACGGGG
rnacentral:lncRNA from 1 species